AGUGAACGCUGGCGGUAGGCCUAACACAUGCAAGUCGAACGGCAGCACAGUAAGAGCUUGCUCUUACGGGUGGCGAGUGGCGGACGGGUGAGGAAUAUAUCGGAAUCUACUUUUUCGUGGGGGAUAACGUAGGGAAACUUACGCUAAUACCGCAUACGACCUUCGGGUGAAAGCAGGGGAUCUUCGGACUUUGCGCGAUUGAAUGAGCCGAUGUCGGAUUAGCUAGUUGGCGGGGUAAAGGCCCACCAAGGCGACGAUGCGUAGCUGGUCUGAGAGGAUGAUCAGCCAAACUGGAACUGAGACACGGUCCAGACUCCUACGGGAGGCAGCAGUGGGGAAUAUGGGAAAAUGGGCGCAAGCCUGAUCCAGCCAUGCCGCGUGGGUGAAGGAGGCAUUCGGGUUGUAAAGCCCUUUUGUUGGGAAAGAAAAGCAGAAGGUUAAUACCCCGCUGUUCUGACGGUACCCAAAGAAUAAGCACCGGCUAACUUCGUG
rnacentral:rRNA from 1 species